rnacentral:tRNA from 1 species
GUGGUUGUAGCUCAGUGGUAGAGCGCUUACCUGGCAUGUGUGAGGCACUGAGUUCAAACCUCACCACCUUG